rnacentral:rRNA from 1 species
GACGAACGCCGGCGGCGUGCUUAACACAUGCAAGUCGAGCGGAAAGGCUCCUUCGGGGGUACUCGAGCGGCGAACAGGUGAGUAACACGUGAGUAAUCUGCCCUUGGCUUCGGGAUAGCCACCGGAAACGGUGAUUAAUACCGGAUACGACAACUUCUCGCAUGGGAUGGUUGUGGAAAGUUUUUUCGGCCAGGGAUGUGCUCGCGGCCUAUCAGCUUGAUGGUGAGGUAAUGGCUCACCAUGGCUUCGACGGGUAGCCGGCCUGAGAGGGUGACCGGUCACACUGGGACUGAGACACGGCCCAGACUCCUACGGGAGGCAGCAGUGGGGAAUAUUGGACAAUGGGCGGGAGCCUGAUCCAGCAACGCCGCGUGAGGGAUGACGGCCUUCGGGUUGUAAACCUCUUUCAGCACCGACGAAGCGCAAGUGACGGUAGGUGCAGAAGAAGGACCGGCCAACUACGUGCCAGCCGCCGCUGUAACAC